GGGGGUAGCGCUGGAUCUUCGGCUCUGUCCCCAGCGCCCUGGGCUCCUGGGCCUGCACUGUUGGAAUCACGCUCCCAGCCACGCAGCUCCU
rnacentral:pre_miRNA from 1 species